AUUGAACGCUGGCGGCAGGCUUAACACAUGCAAGUCGAGCGGGGUGAUGGUGCUUGCACUAUCACUUAGCGGCGGACGGGUGAGUAAUGCUUAGGAAUCUGCCUAUUAGUGGGGGACAACAUCUCGAAAGGGAUGCUAAUACCGCAUACGUCCUACGGGAGAAAGCAGGGGAUCACUUGUGACCUUGCGCUAAUAGAUGAGCCUAAGUCGGAUUAGCUAGUUGGUGGGGUAAAGGCCUACCAAGGCGACGAUCUGUAGCGGGUCAGAGAGGAUGAUCCGCCACACUGGGACUGAGACACGGCCCAGACGCCUACGGGAGGCAGCAGUGGGGAAUAUUGGACAAUGGGGGGAACCCUGAUCUAGCCAUGCCGCGUGUGUGAAGAAGGCCUUAUGGUUGUAAAGCACUUUAAGCGAGGAGGAGGCUCUUUUGGUUAAUACCCAAGAUGAGUGGACGUUACUCGCAGAAUAAGCACCGGCUAACUCUGUGCCAGCCGCCGCCGUAA
rnacentral:rRNA from 1 species